rnacentral:rRNA from 1 species
ACGUGUAGGCGGUUCUUCGCAUCUUGUUUUAAAUAUCUUCGCUUAACGAAGGAAAUGGACAAGAGAUGGAAGGACUUUGAAAUCUUUCGGGGCAACUGGAACUUUAGGUGGAGCAGUGAAAUGCGUUGAUAUCUAAAGGAACACCGAUGGCGAAGGCAGGUUGCUAGGAAGUAUUUGACGCUGAGACUCGACAGCUUGGGGAGAGAAGCAGAUUAGAUACCUGCGUAUUCCAAGCCGUAAACGUAUGGGUGCUAGAUCGUCCCGUCUGACGGGACGGUCGCAAGCUAACGCGUUAAGCACCCCGCCUGGGGAGUACGAGCGCAAGCUUAAA